rnacentral:pre_miRNA from 1 species
UUAACUCAGAUUUGUAUGGAGUUGGAACGCUUGCCUACGUUUUCCGCUAGGGGCGCUGUUCCAACUACAUACAAGAGUUA